UUUAUGGUGACACAAAUGGAGAACAACAAACUAUCCUUAAACCUAGUCUACAGUUAUCGCGUCCCCGUCCCCCCGAUGAGCUACCCGGUUUUUUCGGCUCCAAACCAACGUCAAGGGUCUACGUGUCGUCACCACGCCGCUGAGGGUAUACGUGUUGCCACCGCGCUACUGACGCUCUACAUGUCUUCACCAUCACUACUGUAAUGCGCCACUGACACCUGACACUGCAGUUUCCUGUUUUGUACCAAGUC
rnacentral:rRNA from 1 species